UUCAUUGGAGCCAAUGUGCUAAAAAUCCCAAACAAGCCAAACCCAGCUCCUGUCCGGGCAGCUGUGACUGCUGGCCCACUUAGUUGCUUCUUGGCCACUCUGAUGACAGUUAUAAUUCUAUAAGUAUCAGAUCACAGGAGUGACAGCUUGGAUACUGGAAAGGAACCUGCUCAGAAAGGCAGUUCCGAUUACACCACCAAGAAGCAUGAAGAAAAACGGGGCAGUCAUGGAAGUAACAAGAGAAUGUUAAUCACAGAAAAACAAAGAGAAAGUGUAAAAUUUAUGGAAGAUCUUCAGGAAGUUCAAGGUGCUCUAUUUAUGCUUUUCAUUUAUGCCAAUGACAUAUAGAAAGACCAAAUGACUUGAUGAUAAAACCCCACAUUUGAAUAAUAUUUUUAUAGCUAUGAA